rnacentral:rRNA from 1 species
GGUUCAGGAUGAACGCUAGCGACAGGCUAACACAUGCAAGUCGAGGGGCAGCACGGGAGUAGCAAUACAACUGGUGGCGACCGGCGCACGGGUGAGUAACGCGUAUGCAACCUACCUAUCAGAGGGGAAUAACCCGGCGAAAGUCGGACUAAUACCGCAUAAAACAGGGGCACCGCAUGGUGAUAUUUGUUAAAGAAAUUCGCUGAUAGAUGGGCAUGCGUUCCAUUAGGUAGUUGGUGAGGUAACGGCUCACCAAGCCGACGAUGGAUAGGGGAACUGAGAGGUUGGUCCCCCACACUGGUACUGAGACACGGACCAGACUCCUACGGGAGGCAGCAGUGAGGAAUAUUGGUCAAUGGGCGAGAGCCUGAACCAGCCAAGUCGCGUGAAGGAAGAAGGAUCUAUGGUUCGUAAACUUCUUUUGCAGGGGAAUAAAGUGCAGGACGUGUCCUGUUUUGUAUGUACCCUGAGAAUAAGGAUCGGCUAACUCCGUGCCAGCCGCCGC